rnacentral:rRNA from 1 species
AGAGUUUGAUCAUGGCUCAGGACGAACGCUGGCGGCGUGCUUAACACAUGCAAGUCGAACGAAGAGCGAUGGAAGCUUGCUUCUAUCAAUCUUAGUGGCGAACGGGUGAGUAACGCGUAAUCAACCUGCCCUUCAGAGGGGGACAACAGUUGGAAACGACUGCUAAUACCGCAUACGAUCUAACCUCGGCAUCGAGGAUAGAUGAAAGGUGGCCUCUACAUGUAAGCUAUCACUGAAGGAGGGGAUUGCGUCUGAUUAGCUAGUUGGAGGGGUAACGGCCCACCAAGGCGAUGAUCAGUAGCCGGUCUGAGAGGAUGAACGGCCACAUUGGGACUGAGACACGGCCCAGACUCCUACGGGAGGCAGCAGUGGGGAAUCUUCCGCAAUGGACGAAAGUCUGACGGAGCAACGCCGCGUGAGUGAUGACGGCCUUCGGGUUGUAAAGCUCUGUUAAUCGGGACGAAAGGCCUUCUUGCGAAUAGUUAGAAGGAUUGACGGUACCGGAAUAGAAAGCCACGGCUAACUACGUGCCAGCAGCCGCGGUAAUACGUAGGUGGCAAGCGUUGUCCGGAAUUAUUGGGCGUAAAGCGCGCGCAGGCGGAUAGGUCAGUCUGUCUUAAAAGUUCGGGGCUUAACCCCGUGAUGGGAUGGAAACUGCCAAUCUAGAGUAUCGGAGAGGAAAGUGGAAUUCCUAGUGUAGCGGUGAAAUGCGUAGAUAUUAGGAAGAACACCAGUGGCGAAGGCGACUUUCUGGACGAAAACUGACGCUGAGGCGCGAAAGCCAGGGGAGCGAACGGGGUUAGAUACCCCGGUAGUCCUGGCCGUAAACGAUGGGUACUAGGUGUAGGAGGUAUCGACCCCUUCUGUGCCGGAGUUAACGCAAUAAGUACCCCGCCUGGGGAGUACGACCGCAAGGUUGAAACUCAAAGGAAUUGACGGGGGCCCGCACAAGCGGUGGAGUAUGUGGUUUAAUUCGACGCAACGCGAAGAACCUUACCAGGUCUUGACAUUGAUGGACAGAACCAGAGAUGGUUCCUCUUCUUCGGAAGCCAGAAAACAGGUGGUGCACGGUUGUCGUCAGCUCGUGUCGUGAGAUGUUGGGUUAAGUCCCGCAACGAGCGCAACCCCUAUCUUAUGUUGCCAGCACGUAAAGGUGGGAACUCAUGAGAGACUGCCGCAGACAAUGCGGAGGAAGGCGGGGAUGACGUCAAAUCAUCAUGCCCCUUAUGACCUGGGCUACACACGUACUACAAUGGGAGUUAAUAGACGGAAGCGAGAUCGCGAGAUGGAGCAAACCCGAGAAACACUCUCUCAGUUCGGAUCGUAGGCUGCAACUCGCCUACGUGAAGUCGGAAUCGCUAGUAAUCGCAGGUCAGCAUACUGCGGUGAAUACGUUCCCGGGCCUUGUACACACCGCCCGUCA